AACGUAGGUGGCGAGCGUUAUCCGGAUUCACUGGGCGUAAAGCGCCUGCAGGCGGUCUUGUAAGUGGGAUGUGAAAUCUCCUGGCUUAACUGGGAGGGGCCAUUCCAUACUGCGAGGCUUGAGGGCAGAAGAGGGAAGCGGAAUUCCCGGUGUAGUGGUGAAAUGCGUAGAUAUCGGGAGGAACACCAGUGGCGAAGGCGGCUUCCUGGCCUGCUCCUGACGCUAAGAGGCGAAAGCUAGGGGAGCGAACGGG
rnacentral:rRNA from 1 species